rnacentral:rRNA from 1 species
UACGUAGGGUGCGAGCGUUGUCCGGAAUUACUGGGCGUAAAGAGCUCGUAGGUGGUUUGUCGCGUCUGCUGUGAAAACUCGGGGCUUAACCCCGGGCCUGCAGUGGGUACGGGCAGACUAGAGUGCGGUAGGGGAGACUGGAAUUCCUGGUGUAGCGGUGAAAUGCGCAGAUAUCAGGAGGAACACCGGUGGCGAAGGCGGGUCUCCGGACAGUUCCUGACACUGAGGCACGAAGGCCAGGGGAGCAAACGGG